rnacentral:misc_RNA from 1 species
UAAUCUUUGCAUUUAGUAGAAAGGUGUUAGGAUUUUCAUUUGUCCACUUUUGGAUAAGUUAUUUUGUAGGUGAAUUGAGAUGUAUGUUUCAAUACCUAAUAUGCUUCCAAAUUUAUAACUAAUAAUAGCUUUGUAUUCCUCCCAGAAUUUCCAUUCAGUUUCCACUUCUAGUGGUAUUUGUGCUUAGAGCAUAUGAAUAACUUGCGUGUGUAUACAGUGA